UUCCUAUUUUAGGUCCAGUUUAGGUAACCAUUGAACUCAUCAGCUAGCUUUUAUAAUAUUGUGAGUGCCUUGCACAAUGAGUUAAUGGUCUCAGAGCAGACUUAAACAAAAGCUGGCGCAUUAAUAACUGGUACCUGACCUGGUGACUCCAGUUCAGUCUGCUCAGGCACAUCCGUUAUCUUGUAAAGUGUCAAGCUUCUGUGUCCAGGACCCUCUGAACUGGCAUCCUUUCCUAGAAAUAACCAAACUCAAGCAUCACCUUCUGAAAAGGCAGUUAGUAAAGAAACACGGAAUUGUUUUGCAGCAUGUUCGGAUGGGAGGGGUGCUGCAUUCCUGGCACCCUCUGCUGAAAACUGGUGUCUGUUCACUCUGUGCUCUGGAAAAAUGCACAUGGUGCCAGUGAAUGGACUUGAACUUAAUAGGUUAGUUUGGGAGGGUUCCCCUUCAUUUUGUACAACACUAAUCAUUCAGACCAUUCUCUCCAAGAGGAAAAUACGUGUUUCAGUAUCCUUUAGGGUUUGGGUGGUGUGCAUACUCUUGCCAUUUAAAAGGCUAUAAUGAUGCAUUUCACCCAAGAGGAGUGAGCUAAAUAAGGCUUGUACAAUUUCUACCUAGUCCACUAAUUGUCAGGGUGUCAGCAAUAUUUUUAAAAGAUUUAUUUAUUUGAGAGAGAGCACAAGUGGGAGGGGCAGGGAGAAGUACAGAGAACCUUAAGCAGAUUCCAUGCUAAGCACAGAGCUCAACACAGGGCUUGAUCUCAGGACCCUGGGAUCAUGACUGAGCCAAAACCAAGAGUCAGACACUUAACAUCUGUGCCACCCAGGGGCCCUAGGGUGUCAGCAAUUUUUGAUGCAUGUGGCCAUUGCCCUUGCUGUGAGCAGGGCAUGCUGUUAUUUCUCUGUUUCUGUCACUCUGUCUAGUUAGUGAAGUAACCAGUGUAACAACCCAGCUUUACUGUAUACUCUGCAAUAAGCAACAGCCAACGUGCAAAAGCCACUUGUAAAAGUGAGGUGGGAAGAUUCCAAAAAUCAAAUCAUUACUUCUAUAUAUUUAUAUAUAUAGUUAUUUAUAUAUAUAUAUAUAUAUAUAAUUGAAGAAAGGGUCUACAAAGCAUUUUUUAAAAGACCUCAAAACCUCUCCAUCAUAAUAUUUCUGUUUUUGAUGUAUUUCCCAUACCAUUCAUAUGCGAAUGCACAGCACUCCAUUUUGCAUUCUGCUCUUCUCAUUAAGCUAUCACAAGUCCUUUCCUUCCCCAUAUAUCUGGAUAAUCUUCAGUUCUUUUUAUUGGCUCCAUCAAAUGAUACACCACCCUGUACCAGACUACUUCUACAAUAUUGCAUGACUAUUUUAACCACGUCUUAAUUCUAAUAACUACUGCAGUAUUAAGCAUCUUCACAUAUAGUACUGCUUUCUUCUUCCUUUGAAUUAUUUUCUUGGAAUAAUCUCAGGAAUAUUGCUAGAUCAUAGGUUGUGAAUGUCUUAUGAGCUUAUUUUUCAUUUCUGUAGUUGGCUUUCUUGUUUGCACAAAAGUAAAAUCUGUCACUUCCACCCAACACAAGCAUCUCAAUCAAGAGUUUUAUUUUUACCAAACAUUUUGGGUUUAUUAUUUCAUGGGCAUGUUUUAUAUGGCAGAAUUAAAGAAAGAAACACAGUUUCCCUUUCCAUUAUGCAAACCAUCAGCACACGAAUAAGGUGUAUGUGCUGAAACCUAUGCCCUUCUGGUUUUCUUUCUGAUAUUGUAUGAAGUGACCCAUAUCCUACUUAUGCAUCAAAGACAGUUAAUGAGAAAGACAAAGCUCUUGUUCUUUGGGUGAGUGAUUCAUUGGUUGAUUGCCUAGAGUUUUCCACUUGGGAGCAAAUUCCUUCUGUGGUUUCCAGAGCUUGAAGAGACAUUAGUUUGCUUUUCAAUUUACAUGGCCAUUCUACUGAAUCCACUGCACAGCACUCUGCAGUUGUAAUAGCCCCGAUACAUAACUUCACAUUUGGAAUGUAAAGUGCAACCAUUCUUAAUAGUUCAGUUUAAUGGCCACUCUUUCCUUUCCCCUAUGGUUUCUUGUGUAUUAUUAUUUUUUUAAAGCAGACCAACCAUUUUAGUGCUACCACAUUCUCCACUGAACAUACCCCUCUGCAGUGAAAAUCCUUUUAAAAACAACUUAUAGUCCCUUGGAAAGCAAACCAUUUAGGAUGAGAAAACAUUGAUCUAUGGGGAAAGAUGACCCAAUGAGCCCUUGUCUGAAAUUUUCCAUUUUUUUCCCCUUUAGGAAAACUGAGCAUAAUCUAUAUGAAAAUGCAUGAGCAGGCUCUCUGAGCUAUGGAGAGAGGAGUUGUGUAGACCAGUGGGGUUUAAGUAGUUACCUCGAGUGGUGGCAGAUUUUAAAGUUGGUGGCAGACUCCCACUUGUAUAUUUGUUUACUUGAAUGACUAGAGCCUGAAUUAAAGAAAACCUUGUAUUUUUUUUUUUUUUUUUUUAACCUUAGAAGUUUCAGGUGACUUCCAAUUCCUUUUCUUCCUUACAUCCCCUCGGCUGAUCCUGGGAAUCACAGCCUUACUGGCUCUCGCCUUCAGUGCUGCCUUCAGAGAUCAGCAAAGAAAGAGUUCCUGCUCUCAGCUCUUAAGGGGUGGCAUCCGUCAUUCUGUUACCAGGGUAACCAAUUUCAGAUGGGUGCAAAGAAGGCAAAAGGUUCAAACAUCUUAUUUGAAAUAAUGAAAUAAGAAUGCAACCUAUAACUCCCCUUCUUCCCACCUGUCUAAUGUCAAUUUCCAUGGCAACAAGAUCAGAAAGGCCGCUGACAGCCAGCAACUGACAGUAAACUCACAUGUCUCUCUAGGUGGCAGGCAUCUUUUUGAUAACCGCAAAUGCCAAUUUGUUCAAUCCCAAGACAUAUCAUUGGGCUGGAAAGACUCUUAUUUGAAGAGUGAAUAAAAUGGAAUCUACCAAGGCACAACAUCUGUCCUUCUAACUUCUAUCAAACAAAUAAUUCAGAAAUAUGGUUCAGUUGAUUACUAUUGCUUCCCAUAAUAGCCACUUUGUCAAUGUGCAAACCUCCUUGUCUACCAUGUUUGUCUUUCUGAUUUCUGGACUGAUACUUCACAGCAUGACAACCAUCUCCUCUGGGCUGUAAUUUAAUAUAUCAUAUAUUUUGACACUGAAAUAGUUGGAUUUUCUGAACUUUCAGUAUACAGAAUGUAAAUGUUAGUGUUGAUUUUAAUCUCUGCAGUAGUGCCUAAACAUUUGGUCGCAUCGUCUUACUAAUUUGUAUCCAUUUUAGAUGUUUGGCCUUCUAGAAGAUGUAGACUCCCAGGAUGAAAUACUUGGAAAUCUCAAUGUAUAUGUCUUAGUAGUUAAAAAGCUCUAGGAAGUCCCUGGCAUGUGAGGAGCUGAAUCCCUCACAGCCUCUGACCUGGAUUGGCACUAUACCCUUGGCUCCCUGGGUUCUCCAGCUUACUGACUGCAGAUCCUGGGACUUCUCAGUCUCCAUAAUCACGUGAACCAAUUCUAUAAAAUAAAUUUCUUUCUCUCUCUGUACAUAUAUACAUAGAUAUAUAUAUUGUCUGCUUUUGUUUACUUGAAAAACCUAGGCCAAUAUAGUGGAUACAUAAACUGUGGCAUAUCUAGGCAAAGGAAUAUUACUCAGCACUCAAAAGAGAUGAACUGUCAAGCCAUGAAAAGUCAUGGAAGAAGCUUGAAUGCAUAUCACUAAGUAAAAGAAGCCAAUCUGAAAAGGCUGCCUACUGUAUGAUUCCAAUUCUAUGACAUUUUGGAAAAGACAAAACUAUGAAGACAGCCUGGAGUGGUAGUGGGGAGGGAGGGAUUUUUAAGGCAGUGAAAAUUCUGCCAGGAACUAAUAUGGUAGAUACACAUCGUUAUAGGUUUCUCAAAACUCGUAGAAUGUAUGCCACUAAGAGUGAACCCUAAUGUAAACUUUGAGUGAUAAUGAUGUGCCAGCAUAUCAGUUGUAAGAAAUGUACUAAUUGGGGUGGGAUAGUGAUAGUGGGGAGGCUAUGUUUGCAUGGGGGCAAUGAGUAUAUGGGAACCAUGUACUUCAGUUGAAUCUCACUGUGAACUCUAAAAAAAUAAAAACUAUUUAUUUUUUAAA